rnacentral:rRNA from 1 species
UGGGGAAUCUUGCGCAAUGGGGGAAACCCUGACGCAGCGACGCCGCGUGCGGGAUGAAGGCCUUCGGGUUGUAAACCGCUUUCAGCAGGGACGAGGCCUUAUGGUGACGGUACCUGCAGAAGAAGCUCCGGCUAAAUAAGUGCCAGCAGCCGCGGUAAUACGUAUGGAGCAAGCGUUAUCCGGAUUCAUUGGGCGUAAAGCGCUCGUAGGCGGUCUGUUAGGUCGGCAAGUUAAAUCCGGGGGCUCAACCCCCGUCCGCUUCCGAUACCGGCAGACUUGAGUUUGGUAGGGGAAGGUGGAAUUCCUAGUGUAGCGGUGGAAUGCGCAGAUAUUAGGAAGAACACCGGUGGCGAAGGCGGCCUUCUGGGCCAUAACUGACGCUGAGGAGCGAAAGCUAGGGGAGCGAACAGG